rnacentral:RNase_P_RNA from 1 species
CCAGUCGGCCGGAUGACCGCUGCCGCUAAUCCCGAAAGGGUGCGGGGGAGGAAAGUCCGGGCUCCAUGGAAACACGGUGCCGGGUAACGCCCGGCGGGGGCAACCCCAGGGAAAGUGCCACAGAAAUUAUACCGCGAACCUGGCCGCAAGGCUGGCCGCAAGGGUGAAAUGGUGCGGCAAGAGCGCACCGCGCUUCCGGCAACGGCGGCGGCACGGCAAACCCCACCGGGAGCAAGACCGAAUAGGGGCGGUACGGACCUUCGGGUCCAGGGCUGUUUCCGGCUCACCGCCCGGGUAGGUCGCGCGAAGCCUCCGGCGACGGAGGUUCCAGAUGAAUGGUCAUCCCUUGCCGGGCGCAAGCCCUGUAAGGACAGAACCCGGCUUACAGGCCGGCUGGCAAC